rnacentral:tRNA from 1 species
ACGGGUAUAGCUCAAUUGGGAGAGCUACGGUCUCCAAAACCGUUGGUUGGGGGUUCGAGUCCCUCUACCCGUGCUA